CGAUCCCCGUACGAUCACCGAAGUUAAGCAAAGUUGAGCCUGAUCAGUACCAAGAUGGGUGACUGCUUGAAAAUACCAGAUGCCGUAAG